rnacentral:lncRNA from 1 species
AUUGGAGGAUCAGAUUUCAGCUCAGCCUGUGGUGUUACUGGUUUCUGAUGACUUGUGCAGCCGUCAGCAGGAUGAUGAACCUUCCAGCCCUGACCAUCGGCAGGAUGCAGUUCCUAUGAUCCAUGACCUGCCUUCGGGAAAUGGGGCCGUCGAGUUGCAGCAGGAUGAUGAUAGAACUUCAAUCCCCAGCCUUCAGCAAGAGAUGAUUCCUAGUACUCAGGACCUGCCUUCAGGAAAUGGGGAUGUGGAGCCACAGCAGGAUGAUAGUAGACAUUCCAGCCACAGCCAUCAUCUGGACAUGAUUCCUAGCACACAGGUCCUUCCUUCAGGGAAUGGGGCUGUGGAGCCACGGAUGGAGGACCGGAUUAAGAUCAAUUUGACCUCAAAGUCAAAGCAGGAGAUGCAGGAGCUACGGUGGAAGCUUGAAGGCGAGCUGAACAUUGUUAGAAGCUUGGUCAAGAGGAUUGAAAUGAAACAGGGGCAGGUUGACAGGUAUGGUAAUUUGAUUGGUAAGGGGCGUGUAGCAAUCCGUGCUCACUCAGAGGUAGCGUCUGCUGGUGUUCCUCGAGAGUCUACAAGGCCUUUGCACCACUUGAAUUUGUCGAUGUUGGAGAAUAGUCAUGCAGUCAAUGAAAGCGUCGAGAGGGAGAAGAGAAUGCCUAAAGCAAAUCAAUUUUAUCAAUACUUAAUCAUAUUUUUAUGUUGUUAUUCUUAAAACAAAUAUGCUUAUAGUUCAUCAUAUAUUUCUCAUGUUAUUCUUCAAUAAGUAUUGGUCAAAUUUAUCAUAUUCAAGAUUUUGUUUAUUCUUAGUUCAAGAAACAAAAUAACAAAACUCGCAAAGAGUCAAUACAUUAUUUACCAUUGAUCUUCUUUCAACUAUGGUAGUUUUUUAUAAUAUCAUUGAUCUUCUUUCAACUAUGGUAGUUUUUUAUAAACAACAUCAUUACUUUAGUUUUAAUUCAUUUCAUUACAAAGAGUUCUUCUAUUUGUUCUAUCAAUUCUCUUGUCACAAUAAUUUCAUUUGUUAUAUUUUAAAGAAUAGUUUAAAAUGUAUGCAUUAUUAAUAUAUAGAUUUAUACACAGUCAAUACAUUAUUUACCAUUCAUUUGCAAUACUUUUAUUUAAAAGUCAAUAAUAACAAAAAAUCAAUGGUGGAUAAUGUAGUGACAAUGUAAAAAACAUUUAUACUGUCGGUUUAUAUAUCUUUUUCCCUUUAAAGAAUUCUCCUCUCUUAAAAUUUUAAACCUAUUCAUAUUGUUUUAAUGUAUGAUUGAUUAAAUGAACAUCUUGAACCGGUCUAGUUCCUAGUUCCCAAUUGGACUAGUCAAAUCAGCCUAUGUGAAUAUAGUUUAACAAGUAUGUUUUUAUGUCAGUUUACAAAAUAUAAUAUGUUAUAAACGGAAAAUGGAACGGAAAAUGGAACCCAAUUGAACCAUUCAGGUUCGGUUUUUUGUAUGAAGAACAAAAUAAAACAUCAAAAUCACUACCUAGUAUUCGGUCUGAUUCAUAAAGUACAUUAAAAACCAGAUGGUUACAACCUUAUUACCAACUUACCCAACCGGAAAGUGCCCAACACGCGCAACUACUCCGCUUAUGAAAACUUUUCAAACUUUCUGAAACAAAACUCGCAGCCACGAUAGCCUAUUACCCUCUCUUUUCCGCGUGGCAGUCACGCAUCACAGCAUUUCCAUCCUAAUUGGUGCGUUGUAAUCACGCCACCAACCCCAGCGUGAACACGCGUCUCAAAUCUUUGGUUAUAUAAUGCUUCUCGGGCACGGGUCUUACGUACACUUCAAACGCUUCAACGGGUCCACGGUUCUUCACGAACUCACCGUUGCCGUACACCUAUCACACAUUUACAAAUUACAAUUCAAUAAAACGAUUUCGUUUUGAUGAGGAGAGAGAAAGUGAGUGAGGGAAAGAUGCGCGAAAAGUUCUAGAGAGAGAAAGAAAGACCAAAGGAGUUUUCUAGUUCAUGAGAGAGAAAGUGAGAUCUGAUCGAAAGCGAAGGUAAACGAACUUCGAAACCCUAGAAUUUCUUUAUUCAUAUCUUGAUGCAUUUCUGAGGCCUGCUUAUUGGUUUUUCUCCUGAAGAAGGUUUCGAAGUGAAACCCUAGAAUUUAUUAGGGUUUUUUUUCGGUGUUGGAAGGGAGUACGUGUUAUUCUAGGUUUUCGAUUCCUUCAUGCUUUUGAAUUAGAUUAUUAUUUAAUUUGUGUGUGUUUAAAAACCCUAAGAUUUUGGGGAUUUUCGAUUGGUGAUAGAAAUUAGGGUUUAUGUAUGGCUUCGGGCCAUAUAGUUGGUGGAGAUGAUGGAGACAGAGAGAGGAAGAGGUUCCUGGAGGGCAAGGUUUACACACGCAGAAGGUUCAAAAGCACCAAGAAAGACCCUACCAUCGUGAACACAGUCACUCCCGCCACUGCAACUGCUGAAAAUGACAGCGCCACAAUUGCUGCCACCUCCAUCACUGCCAACAACAGUGACAACAAUAGCCCUGUUAAGUGUCGUAACCCCGAUGAGGCCAAGAGUGAUACCAAAGUCAUUUCUGCAGCUGCACUGCCUGUUGCAGUGCCAGAGGAUGGGAAUCCCUCUCAGCCACAAGGGAAUUCACCAGAGGAUAGGAAUUCUGCUCAGAUACAAGUGAAUUCAGGAGUGGAUGAGAAUUUGACUCAGAAACAGGUGUGUUCAAGAGAGGAUGAGAACGUGACUCAGAAACAGGUGUGUUCAAGAGAGGAUGAGAACGUGACUCAGAAACAGGUGUGUUCAAGAGAGGAUGAGAACGUGACUCAGAAACAGGUGUGUUCAAGAGAGGAUGAGAACUUGGCUCAGAAACAAGUGAAUUCAAGAGAGGAUGAGAACAUGGCUCAGCUUCCAGUGAAUUCAACCUCAGUAGAUGUGGGUUCAGCCCAGCCACAAGCAGAUUCAAUGUUGGAGGAUGUGAAUUCGAUUCAACCAGAAGUGGAAACAACAUUGGAGGAUGUGAAUUCGGCUAAGCUACAAGUGGAUUCGACAUUGGAGGAUUGGAAUUCAUCUCAGCCACGAGUGAAUUCAACAUUGGUGAAUGAUAGUUCUGCUCAACCACAAGUGGAUUCAGCAUUGGAGGAAGUGAGUUUGGCCCGGCCAGUUGAGAGUUCAACAUUGAACGGUGGUAAUUUGGUUGAACUGCCAGUGGAUUCAAUAUUGCAGGAUGGGAAUUUGGCUCAGCCACAAGUGGAUUCAACAUUGAAGGAUGUAAAUUUGGCUCAGCCCGAAUUGAUUACGUCAUUGGAGGAUCAGAUUUCAGCUCAGCCUGUGGUGUUACUGGUUUCUGAUGACUUGUGCAGCCGUCAGCAGGAUGAUGAACCUUCCAGCCCUGACCAUCGGCAGGAUGCAGUUCCUAUGAUCCAUGACCUGCCUUCGGGAAAUGGGGCCGUCGAGUUGCAGCAGGAUGAUGAUAGAACUUCAAUCCCCAGCCUUCAGCAAGAGAUGAUUCCUAGUACUCAGGACCUGCCUUCAGGAAAUGGGGAUGUGGAGCCACAGCAGGAUGAUAGUAGACAUUCCAGCCACAGCCAUCAUCUGGACAUGAUU